rnacentral:rRNA from 1 species
CCUACGGUGGGCAGCAGUGAGGAAUAUUGGUCAAUGGACGAGAGUCUGAACCAGCCAAGUAGCGUGAAGGAUGACUGCCCUAUGGGUUGUAAACUUCUUUUAUAUGGGAAUAAACUGUUCCACGUGUGGGAGUUUGUAUGUCCCAUAUGAAUAAGGAUCGGCUAACUCUGUGCCAGCAGCCGCGGUAAUACGGAGGAUCCGAGCGUUAUCCGGAUUUAUUGGGUGUCAAGGGUGCGUAGGUGGAUUGUUAAGUCAGUUGUGAAAGUUUGCGGCUCAACAAUAAAAUUGCAGUUGAAACUGGCAGUCUUGAGUACAGUAGAGGUGGGCGGAAUUCGUGGUGUAGCGGUGAAAUGCUUAGAUAUCACGAAGAACUCCGAUUGCGAAGGCAGCUCACUGGACUGCAACUGACACUGAGGCUCGAAAGUGUGGGUAUCAAACAGGAUUAGAUACCCGGGUAGUC